rfam:Clostridium sp. CAG:510 genomic scaffold, scf27
UGAUAGCGAUGAAGCGUGAGGUUGCUGCUGAUGGGUGAUGCCGGAUAGCAGGUUUUCCGUGGAGCGAAUGUCAAGUUAGGAAACUGACGACAA